UCGCUCUAUAAAAAAAAAACAUUUUGAGAGGUGGGCUGAUAAAAGGGUUAGUUGACAGUGGGACUUCCACCAAUAGACCCAUUCAACUUGGACAUACAUGUAGUAUUUUCCCAUUAAAGAACACAUGUUAUUCCCUUAGUAAUGAGAUACCUGUUUGCGUUUUAUUUCAAUCUUCUUCAGUUCUCGAGUAUUACAGAUAAACAAAGAAAUAUUACUCAAAGGAAUACAACAUGAUUUGAAAUAGCUAGACUUACCAGCAUUCCAAGAUGCCUCAAUAAGCUGUUGUAUUCGUGGUAUUGAAGGAACAUUUUCGCCAACUAGAACAAAGCAACAUUAGCAAAACAGAUCAGGGAUUCAACUAUGGUAAGAAAAUAUCAGGGCCAUGCAACGGUACCCAUGCAACUAGCUGUGGGUUUAAUGAAGACCAGUGUCCACUUAAUAUAUAGUAGAGGUACCAACGUAUUACAGUCUUAGUAAGUUUAUUGUCCAAUUAUUGAAGUCACCUGC